rnacentral:rRNA from 1 species
GGGUUGAGGACAGUGCCUGGUGGGUAGUUUGACUGGGGCGGUCUCCUCCCAAAGAGUAACGGAGGAGCACGAAGGUGGGCUAAUCACGGUUGGACAUCGUGAGGUUAGUGCAAUGGCAUAAGCCCGCUUAACUGCGAGAAUGACGGUUCGAGCAGGUGCGAAAGCAGGUCAUAGUGAUCCGGUGGUUCUGUAUGGAAGGGCCAUCGCUCAACGGAUAAAAGGUACUCCGGGGAUAACAGGCUGAUACCGCCCAAGAGUUCAUAUCGACGGCGGUGUUUGGCACCUCGAUGUCGGCUCAUCACAUCCUGGGGCUGAAGUCGGUCCCAAGGGUAUGGCUGUUCGCCAUUUAAAGUGGUACGCGAGCUGGGUUUAGAACGUCGUGAGACAGUUCGGUCCCUAUCUGCCGUGGGCGUUGGAAGAUUGAAGGGGGCUGCUCCUAGUACGAGAGGACCGGAGUGGACGAACCUCUGGUGUUCGGGUUGUGUCGCCAGACGCAUUGCCCGGUAGCUAAGUUCGGAAUUGAUAAGCGCUGAAAGCAUCUAAGCGCGAAGCGAGCCCUGAGAUGAGUCUUCCCUGACAGUUUAACUGUCCUAAAGGGUUGUUCGAGACUAGAACGUUGAUAGGCAGGGUGUGUAAGCGUUGUGAGGCGUUGAGCUAACCUGUACUAAUUGCCCGUGAGGCUUAACCAU